GAUGAGCCCGCGGCCUAUCAGCUAGUUGGUGAGGUAACGGCCCACCAAGGCGAAGACGGGUAGCUGGUCUGAGAGGACGACCAGCCACACUGGAACUGAGACACGGUCCAGACACCUACGGGUGGCAGCAGUCGAGAAUUUUUCACAAUGGGCGCAAGCCUGAUGGAGCGACGCCGCGUGGGGGAUGAAGGGUUUCGAUCCGUAAACCCCUGUCAUUUGCGAACAAACCUUAUUCAAUAACACUGAAUGAGCUGAUUGUAGCGGAAGAGGAAGGGACGGCUAACUCUGUGCCAGCAGCCGCGGUAAUACAGAGGUCCCAAGCGUUGUUCGGAUUCACUGGGCGUAAAGGGUGCGUAGGUGGCCGGGAAAGUUCGAUGUGAAAGCUCGGAGCUCAACUCCGAAAAGGCAUUGAAUACUAUCCGGCUGGAGGGUCGGAGGGGAGACUGGAAUUCUCGGUGUAGCAGUGAAAUGCGUAGAUAUCGAGAGGAACACCAGUGGCGAAGGCGAGUCUCUGGACGACACCUGACACUGAGGCACGAAAGCCAGGGGAGCAAACAGGAUUAGAUACCCUGGUAGUCCUGGCUGUAAA
rnacentral:rRNA from 1 species